CGCCGCCGUAUCUGUCGCCGGUGAUUCAGGCAUUUGGCCCAUGGAAAAUUGGAGCAAUCUGUACAUUCAAAAGGAAAGACUUUUAGCUUCCUCAGUACCAAGUUGCAUCUGAAUGUGAUGAAAAUUUCGAAAUUACCCUGAGUUCCAAUUAGAACUGCGAAAAUUCAAGUAAAUUUAAAAAAUUUCGUCGAACCCACUACAGGGGAAGAAGAAAUCUUCAAUCUUUCCAUGGUCGGAAUAGGAUCAAGAACAUAAAACACCGAAAUCAUAUCGAUAAACGAAAUCGGAGCGAAUUGAAUGCAGGAUUUCUUCUUAAAAAAGCUCUGUAAACGAGUAUCAGACCAUCGAUGAAGCAAACCAGUCCAAAUAUCAAGCAAUAUAUCCCAAUGAAAUCCCAUAUCCAGAUUUUCCGAUUGCUUUACAAAUUGAGGGAAAAUAGUAAUCAAACAGAGGUAGAAGUUGAAGAUGAUUUACCACUGCCGGUUUUCUGAGUUCUUCAGCUGCUUGCUUGCUGAGUGGGUUUUUUUCAGGUGAGGCGGUUUUCAAAAUUGGAGAAGAACUGAUCGAGAUGAAUGAUAAUAAUCAAUUUGAAUCCGACACGGAAACGGAGAAUUUUACUGUAAAUGGUCGGUUUUGGGGGGAGGGGAAUGGGAAUGCGUGUGCAGAGUGGAGAACGAACGAGGGAAGAAGGGUGGGAUUCUUAAGGAUGACGUUAAUUAAUAUUUUAGUAUAUGGGAAAUUACGUGUCGGUCCUUGGCGGGUGUUUUUAUACUGGAAGUGGCAAGGAUUUAGGAAUUGACGCAAGUGUCCCUUGACACGUACGAGUUUUUAGCUGCCGACGUGGCGGCCGGCUCGGGGGGAAAUUGAACUUCAUUUAUCAGUAGAGGCGUCAGCAUACUUG
rnacentral:lncRNA from 1 species